CUCUACUCUUCUGCCCAGGCAAUGUUUGAGGCUUGCCUUCUGGAGUGCUGCGGCUUGCAGGGCUGGCCAGAUGCUGCUGGACAUCCCGUAAUCCUCAGAUACCUGUGCUGUGGCUCCUGCCUGGACAUCCCGUAAUCUUCAGAUACCUGUGCUGUGGCUCCUGCCUGGACAUCCCGUAAUCCUCAGAUACCUGUGCUGUGGCUCCUGCCUGGACAUCCCGUAAUCCUCAGAUACCUGUGCUCUGGCUCCUGCCUGGCGUCACCUUGAACUUGUUACCCAUUGUAGCUAGGGUCACAACCUGAUUCUGUGCUCACGUUUCUGUUGUCACAUUUUAAAGCAUGAUCCCCGGUAGGCCAGUGGCCACACUGCACUGGCAGACUUGCUUGCGUGGAGCACAGUUGCUGAUGGUCUGAUUCAAAGGCCAAGAGUGAGUGCUGGUCCGGUUCCUAGACUUACUUUACAAUCGAACAAUUAACCAGCACAGGCUGUCCUGCUGGGAAAGUUUCCGAAACUGAAGUCACACGAAACUUUCUCAGUUCCACUAGUGCUACACACACGCCUUCCUUUCAGAAAGCAGCAAAUUCACUUAAAGAUUGAUGGGAUUUUGGAAUUGUACUGAAAAAUAUGACCUCAUUAGUAAAUCAUGAGUCAGAGCCAGGCUGUUAGACGUACGCUCCUGUGUAAUUAGAAGGCCGGCAAGGCGAGCUAAUAAUGGCAUGGAUUAAAAAAUUAAAAUACUUUCCCUUUAUACUUCCUAGGCUUCACUGACAUUCUCCUUUUGCAAAAAUCUGGAAACAGAUCUCAUUCAGGAAGGUCUUAUUGACAGAUGGAGUGAGGGGCACAGAACAGGCUCUCUCUCUCUCUCUCUCUCUCUCUCUCUCUCUCUCUCUCUCUCUGUUGUUUCUUUGAGACAGGGUCCUACAAUGUAGCCUAGGCUGUCCUCAAACUUACCUCCUGCCUUUUCCUGAGUGCUAGGAUCAUGACAUGUCCACCAUGCCUUGCUUAAUCUUUUUCAAAUAACUUAAUUUAUUCCCUUUCUCUAUUUUACUUUUCUAUUUCAGUGACUCAUGAGUUCCAUUCUGCAUGUUCUGAUCCUCCUGUUGUAACUUUUGAGGCAGUUGAACUUUCUUCUUUAACACAGUACUUACAGUUGGAUAUUUCUCACCUCAAAUGCUUUAGCUACAUCUCAUUGGUUUUAUAUGGGGUUCAAGGGAACCUUCUCAUCCUAUUCUGGGGGUACUAUGUGAACACAGCUACACACAUAGCUACAUACAUGCACAGGCACACACACACACAUACACACACACACACACAAUCAUUGGUUAAUUGUACUUUGAACAUGUGCUGUGCACAGCAGCUCUUUACUUCAUGGGUAAAUAUGAAAUGUGUUAAGUUUUAGCAAAAGAGAGAAAGGGGUCAGAGAAGGCACCCUUAGCAUGUGCAGCAAGCGCAGCAGGCAUGGUGCUGGCGGAACAGCCACUUGCCUAGUUUAGCUUUCCAGUUUUCCCUCCUUUUCCCCCAUACCUUCCUCUCCCUUCUCCUCCUUGAGAUGGUGUCUCACGUAGCCAAGGUUAUGUUCAAGGAUAAUAUUGAACUUCUAAUCCUCCUGCCUCCACAUUGCUAGGGCUCAUGUGCCCUUGACUCCAUCUGUGGUCCAUAGCUGCACUAGCUAUGAUAGCUAGAUAGUUGGGAAGAUGCAAGGAACCCACUUCCACCCACCGAGUGUGAUCCCAGCGCUGAACACACUCAUCUGUGGAAAGCCCUAGAAAUCAAAGCAUGCUGUAUCAGGACCGUCCCUCUCUUCUCUCUUGUUUUAUUUCCUCUUCUCUCUUCUCUUCAUCUUCCUUCCCUCCCUGUAUUCUGAUUUUUUUGUUUAAUUUAUAUAUAUUUUAAGAUAGGGUCUCACUAUCAGCCCUGAUUGAGCCAGAAAUUGGUAUGUAGAUCAGGAUGGUCUGGAAUUCACAGAGAUCUGUCUGCCUCUGCUUCCCAAGUGUUGGAAUUAAAGCUUUGUACCACUGUG